rnacentral:rRNA from 1 species
GUGCCAGCCGCCGCGGUAAUACGGAGGGUGCGAGCGUUGUUCGGAAUUACUGGGCGUAAAGCGCGUGUAGGCGGCCUUGUAAGUCUGGUGUGAAAGCCCGGGGCUCACCCCCGGAAGUGCAUUGGAUACUGCAAGGCUCGAGUACCGGAGAGGAGGGUGGAAUUCCUGGUGUAGCGGUGAAAUGCGUAGAUAUCAGGAGGAACACCGGUGGCGAAGGCGGCCCUCUGGACGGAUACUGACGCUGAGACGCGAAAGCGUGGGGAGCAAACAGGAUUAGAUACCCCUGUAGUCC